CUGCACUUGUGGAGGUUCCCAUUCCUCCCUUCCCUCAGUUCCUACCCGCCAUCUGCCUCAGAACACCACAUAAUCUCAUCCUACCCUUUACACCACAAGACCCCCAGGACUCCCAGGCAAUACUCUGCUUUAACUCAGGAAAUUUUAACCUGGCAUUUGGUAAUUGAGAUGUUCACCCUUCCUCAAAAGGACUUCAGGGCUCCCACCACCUGUCUGGGCCCCACCUGCAUGCAGGACCUGGGCAGUAGCCAUGGGGAAGAUCUGGAAGGAGAAUGCUCCAGAAAACUGGACCAGAAGCUGCCAGAGCUCCGUGGAGUGGGUGAUCCUGCCAUGAUCUCCUCUGAUACCUCCUACCUGUCCUCUAGAGGAAGAAUGAUUAAAUGGUUCUGGGAUUCAGCUG
rnacentral:lncRNA from 1 species